CCCUUCGGGCCCGUGAUGGGAUCCUUCAGCCAUUACGGAGGCAAGCAGAGGAAGCCGGUGCGAGUCCGGCGCGGUCCCGCCACUGUCACCGGGGAGCACGACCGGAGUUCAGCCACGGAGGGCCGUUUGCGGCCGCCGGAAGGCCCGGGAGCGCGUUCGACCCGGGAGCCAGGAGACUCUC
rnacentral:ncRNA from 2 species